CGAUAUAUAUAUAGUUAUAAAUAUAAAGACAAUGUGGAGAUUGCGGGGACCAGAAACGUCUGAGCUAGCGACAAAGAUGUUUGAGAGAUUGUAGGGUGCAUAGAUGUUUGCAUAGUAACGCAGAGCAGAGAUUGCGGAGUGCAAAGACGUUUGCAUAUCGAAGUAGAGCAGACAUUUCGGGGUGUACAGAGAAAGACUUUUGUACUACCGGCGCAAUUGAUAUCGUAUAUCCUUAUGAGGAGAAUGCGGGGUGUAUGGACUAAAUGUGUGCUAUCAUCGAAUUUUUUGUGUGUGUGAUGCUUUAGGCAUCUUGCUUGUUCUUGUUAGAGCUAAACUCCCAUAGUGGAAGUUCUAUUUACUUAGUCGGUGGUUUGCGUGUCUAGCAUUCAUACCUCACUGAGUGACUCCCCUGUUACUCA
rnacentral:lncRNA from 1 species